rnacentral:rRNA from 1 species
GUGCCAGCCGCCGCGGUAAUACGAAGGGGGCUAGCGUUGCUCGGAAUUACUGGGCGUAAAGGGAGCGUAGGCGGACAUUUAAGUCAGGGGUGAAAUCCCGGGGCUCAACCUCGGAAUUGCCUUUGAUACUGGGUGUCUUGAGUAUGAGAGAGGUGUGUGGAACUCCGAGUGUAGAGGUGAAAUUCGUAGAUAUUCGGAAGAACACCAGUGGCGAAGGCGACACACUGGCUCAUUACUGACGC